UGAGACCUCAGGUCAGACGGGAUUACCCGCUGAGUUUAAGCAUAUCAAUAAGCGGAGGAAAAGAAACUAACAAGGAUUCCCCUAGUAACGGCGAGCGAACCGG
rnacentral:rRNA from 1 species